CAUUUUCCCUGGUAUCACUUUAUUAUACUCAGAACUUCAGUGUUUUCUGGUACUGAAAAUUGCUAUGAGGAAAUGUGAGCAUGAACAGUGAUGAGCAUCACAAGGAACUCAGCAUAACAAUCAGCGCAAGGACCCUGAGUCCCAUGUGAACUCCCCAUCUGGACAGAAGAAGUACAUGAAUUUCUUGUCUAAUGGAACAUCUCCCCAGAAACAUUGUCAUUACCAUUAAAGUUACAUUGAG